rnacentral:rRNA from 1 species
GACGAACGCUGGCGGCGCGCUUAACACAUGCGAGUCGAACGGAAAGGCCUGCUUUCCCUUGUGGAUUGCGGGUACUCGAGUGGCGAACGGGUGAGUAACACGUGAGUGAUCUGCCCCCAACUUGGGUAUAAGCCUGGGAAACUGGGUCUAAUUCCCGAUAGGACUGCAGGGUGGUGCCUGUGGUGGAAAACGAUUUUCUAGUGGUUGGGGAUGAGCUCGCGGCCUAUCAGCUUGUUGGUGGGGUAAUGGCCUACCAAGGCGGCGACGGGUAGCCGGCCUGAGAGGGUGGACGGCCACAUUGGGACUGAGAUACGGCCCAGACUCCUACGGGAGGCAGCAGUGGGGAAUAUUGCACGAUGGGCGGAAGCCUGAUGCAGCGACGCCGCGUGGGGGAUGACGGCCUUCGGGUUGUAAACUCCUUUCGACCGCGAGGAAGCCACCUGGUUGGAAGGGUGGUGACGGUAGUGGUAGAAGAAGCACCGGCUAACUACGUG